UUCUCCCGAAUUUCUCCCAGGAUUUCUCCCAGGAUUUCCAGUUUUCCACGGUGAGGGAGCUGUAAUUUUAAUCUGGGUACCAAGACUUUCAAAUCCCACUCCUUGAAUAUCCAUGGAAAUGAAUCCAGCAGCAACAAGUUUCCCAGAAGGUUCCAAGGCCUUCCAAGCAGGGCUCUGCAAAGGGGGAAGCUGGAAAAGAAACCAACAUCCAGCAAGCCCAACUGGGACUGGGAGAGGCUGCCAAGGAGUGACACAGCACAACGUGGUUUUCUGGAUCUGUCACCGCGGCAAGCUUCAACAAUUUGGGGUGAAAUUUGCUGUGACAGGCGCUGAACUCAGGUAAAAUUCUGUCUCCCGUUCGUUCUGCAAGGCUCAGCUGAUUUCCUUGUGCUGUUUCCCAGGAGGAGGGUUGGAGUUGGUAAAUUAUCAUAUCACUGGAAGGAAUUGCCCUCUGGAGGGUUUUGAUAUUCCCAGGAUCUUAAAAUUUAGCUGAAGCCUGAAAUUCGCUUUAUCUGUGUCACGGUUUUACCUUCUGCCAUCAAAGUCCAAGUGGAUUUCUUUAUAAAUUUUAGGGAAAACACACAUCCUUAGGAGAGCCCUCCUCA
rnacentral:lncRNA from 1 species